UGGGGAAUAUUGGACAAUGGGGGCAACCCUGAUCCAGCCAUGCCGCGUGAGUGAUGAAGGUCUUCGGGUUGUAAAGCUCUUUUGGCGGGGGACGAUGAUGACGGUACCCGCAGAAUAAGCCCCGGCUAACUUCGUGCCAGCAGCCGCGGUAAGACGAAGGGGGCUAGCGUUGUUCGGAAUUACUGGGCGUAAAGCGAGUGUAGGCGGUUGCCGUAGUCAGGUGUGAAAGCCUUGAGCUCAACUCAAGAAAUGCACUUGAUACUGGGUGACUAGAGGACCGGAGAGGAUAGUGGAAUUCCCAGUGUAGUGGUGAAAUACGUAGAGAUUGGGAAGAACACCAGUGGCGAAGGCGGCUAUCUGGACGGUUACUGACGCUAAGACUCGAAAGCGUGGGGNGCAAACAGGAUUAGAUACCCUGGUAGUCCACGCCGUAAACGAUGUCAACUAGUUGUU
rnacentral:rRNA from 1 species